AGUAAAAGUCGUAACAAGGUCUCCGUUGGUGAACCAGCGGAGGGAUCAUUACAGAGUUUUUAACUCCCCAACCCUUAUGUGAACAUACCUAUCGUUGCUUCGGCGGAAGUGCCCUAGCCUGGACGCAGGCUUUGCUGGCACUCCGCCGAGGACCUUAAACUCUUGUUUCUUUAGCAUCUUCUGAAUACGCCAUUAGGCAAAUCAACUGAAUUAAAACUUUCAACAACGGAUCUCUUGGCUCUGGCAUCGAUGAAGAACGCAGCGAAAUGCGAUACGUAAUGUGAAUUGCAGAAUCCAGUGAAUCAUCGAAUCUUUGAACGCACAUUGCGCCCGCCAGCAUUCUGGCGGGCAUGCCUGUUCGAGCGUCAUCUCAACCCUCGACCUCCCCCUAGGGAAGUCGGUGUUGGGGACCGGCAGCACACCGCCGGCCCUGAAAUGCAGUGGCGGCACGCCCGCGGCGACCUCUGCGUAGUACUAUAACUCGCACCGGAACCCCGACGUGACCACGCCGUAAAACAUCAAAUUUCUGAACGUUGACCUCGAAUCAGGUAGGACUACCCGCUGAACUUAAGC
rnacentral:rRNA from 1 species